rnacentral:misc_RNA from 1 species
AUGGUUUACUGGCAGUAAAUCUGGAGAGGAAAAGGAUUAGACCGGAUCUUGUGUUACGGUUACAAAUUGAAGAAAAAAAGCUUAGGCUUCUCGAUUUACAGGCACGCUUAAGAGAUGAAGUAGAUCAACAACAGCAGGAGAUAAUGGCAAUGCCUGACAGGCCAUAUCGGAAGUUUGUUCGGUUAUGUGAGCGUCAACGGAUGGAGCAAGCAAGACAAGUACAGGCCUCUCAAAAAGCCAUGAGAGAUAAACAAUUGAAAUCCAUCUUCCAGUGGCGUAAGAAACUUCUUGAGGCUCAUUGGGCCA